GAUGAACGCUGGCGGCGUGCCUAAUACAUGCAAGUCGAGCGAACAGACGAGGAGCUUGCUCCUCUGACGUUAGCGGCGGACGGGUGAGUAACACGUGGAUAACCUACCUAUAAGACUGGGAUAACUUCGGGAAACCGGAGCUAAUACCGGAUAAUAUAUUGAACCGCAUGGUUCAAUAGUGAAAGACGGUUUUGCUGUCACUUAUAGAUGGAUCCGCGCCGCAUUAGCUAGUUGGUAAGGUAACGGCUUACCAAGGCAACGAUGCGUAGCCGACCUGAGAGGGUGAUCGGCGACACUGGAACUGAGACACGGUCCAGACUCCUACGGGAGGCAGCAGUAGGGAAUCUUCCGCAAAGGGCGAAAGCCUGACGGAGCAACGCCGCGUGAGUGAUGAAGGUCUUCGGAUCGUAAAACUCUGUUAUUAGGGAAGAACAAAUGUGUAAGUAACUAUGCACGUCUUGACGGUACCUAAUCAGAAAGCCACGGCUAACUACGUG
rnacentral:rRNA from 1 species